UCAAGACUAUUCAGAUUUUUUUGUUUAUUUUGUUUUUGCAGUACUGCAGAUAACCUUCUGUUACUCUGUUACCAUAGUGCAAAAUCACGUUACAAUUUGUGGUUCAGAAAACACUUCAAAUGUGGUAUGUACAAUAUGUACACCUUAGCACAAUACGACCAACUUUAUAACCACUACUACAUCAAACUUCAUUAUUGAUUAACACUAUUACAUUUGUUACUAACAAGACCAUAUAUAUUGUCAGUAAAAUGACUACAAAUAUAUUUUAAAAAACUAAAAAAACUGACAUGUAAACAAUUUAAAGUAUGCGUGCCUUGUUCACAUAUCCGUUUAACUGAAACCGUGGUACAGAGUUAUGCGUGAACAAGUUCACUGGUGCAUCAUGGUCCAAUACUUUGAUCGACACUGUUAAAAACACAGCUGGCGUGAUAGUAAAGGUAGAGUUCACGCCAGUCAGUUACCAUACUCCCCAUAUGACAUUACAAACAGCUCCUCCCCAUAUGACAUGUAUCAAACAGCUCCUCCUUACUUCAACAUCAUAGACAUGUAUCAAACAGCUCCUCCCAUAUGACAUGUAUCAAACAGCUCCUCCCAUAUGACAUGUAUCAAACAGCUCCUCCCAUAGGACAUGUAUCAAACAGCUCCUCCCAUAUGACAUGUAUCAAACAGCUCCUCCCUAUGAAUGACUCAAACAGCUCCUCCCAUAUGACAUUAUCAAACAGCUCUCCCAUAGGACAUUAUCAAACAGCUCCCCCAUAGACAUGUAUCAAACAGCCUUCCCAUAUGACAUGUAUCAAACAGCUCCUCCCAUAGACAUGUAUCAAACAGCUCCUCCCAUAUGACAGUAUCAACAGCUCCUCCCAUAGACAGUAUCAAACAGCUCCUCCCAUAUGACAUGUAUCAAACAGCUCCUCCCAUAUGACGUAUCAAAACAGCUCCUCCCAUAUGACAUGUAUGCUCAUUCUAGGGGGGGGUCGUAUUGGUUUAAUCCAUGGACAUGUAUGCUCAUUCUAGGGUGGUGGUGGUGGUGGGGGGGGGGGUCGUAUUGGUUUAACCCAUAUGACAUGUAUGCUCAUUCUAGGGUGGUGGUGGUGGUGGGGGGGGGGGUCGUAUGUGGUUUAAUCCAUGUGUUUCUCUCCUACACUCUUUGUAAAGACAACGUAAUAUUCACAUUGGUCUCAGCUUUCAGUGGAGGUCCACUGCUUUGAACUCCCUCACUUUUUCUCAGUCAUUUCCCAAAGAUUGAAAUAAAAGGGUUUUAAACUCGGGAUUCUCCAGAACUUCUAGGACUGUUGUUCGUAAUCCAGGGCCCGUAUCCACAAAGCGUCUCAGGAGUAGAAAAUGUGUCGUAAGUGCUGAGAAGAGACAUUUUACUCCUACUCUUACGGGUAAAAUAAAAAAAAAUAAAAGCUAGGCAUUAAACCUAAACUAGUUGACAGAUAUUUAAGAGACCUCAUGAUCUGACCUCACCAGUUAAGAGUUACCAGCAGGUGUCUUGAUCAUAAAAAUAAAAAAAGGCCUGCAACACUGUUAAAUAAUAUGCCUAAGUAAUAUUGGGCCACUGAAGGUAUUCGGGCCUAUGUUAACUUGAUUGGGUGUUGAAAAUGAUAGGUUUUAAUGCAACAUUAUCAGUAAAAGACGUGAUGCCUACAGUAACGUACAAAUACAUUAGAAUAAUCAUCCAGGAGUUCAGAGUGUUAGCGACCAUAUUAUAAAACUUACGCUUUAAAAAAACUAAAAAACAUCAGAAUUGGUAAAAAAAAAAAAAGGUUAGGCAUGCCAACAUAUUAGGCAAUAAUUAGGAGUUAGGCAAAGUGAUCGUGUCAGACAAAUUAUAUCAAGUGUUUUACCAUUGCAACAUUUGAUGUACGGUCACGUUCAUCUGGGUGUCUGAAAACGUGCUAUACAGUUCACAGCUGGCCAUGCCUCUUCGUGAUUGGUUAUUUCCAAUAAUUUACAACGAUGAGUGUCAUCACCAUCAUUCCUUUGCGGUACCUCAAACUGUCGUGACGACCAGCUGAGAUGAACCUUUUUAGGAGUUGAUGUUACUCCUGGUUCAGUGUUUGUCUGGUCAGUGUCUUAACAUCAUAAAACCUACUGUGAGCUGGGGGGCUUUUUUUGGGUCUUAAAAACAGGAUUUAACAGGAUUCCUAGACCCCUUUGAGACACUAUGUGGAUAUGUCCCCUGGUCAGAGGAGAUAUUUCAACUAAUCCCAGUUAAUUCUCUCCUUGACUCUUGAUGAAGACAACACUGCAUUACUGGGCUACAGGGCUAGGACUGAUAGUGCACACCUAGUCCCAGGAACGACCUCUAAGGUCAGGUCAGAGGUCAGGUAAAUUCGGACGAAAAACAAGCAGACUGCAGUUCUCCAGGACUAGAAUAGGGCCACUCCAGAUGGUUGAAGUCAGUUCUCUCGCUCUCUCCCAUCUCUAUCUAACAGAGUUCCCUGCCCUCUCCCUCCUGCCUUGCUUCUUCAGUAGCUGGAUACGGUUGUGGCAGUAGAACUUGAUGGCUCUCCAGUCACGCUGGUUGCUGACCAGCAGGGGACAGAGCUGCAGGCAGCGCUCGCAGUCCGCCUUGGCUGGCACGCGCUGCUCCAUGAUGUUCCUCUUCAGGUGCGUCUCCACGGCGAUGCGCUCCGCCUCCGACCAGGGCCGUUUCAGCACCCCACGCUUCCCUGGGAACACAGGACAGAGUCAUGAACAUCAAUUUCCCAAUUCCAAAUCCAUACCCACUGAGUACCUAACCCCUAAAACACUUGUGUAUACUGUAUAUUCAUGAAACAUUGUUUUGAUCUCCUUACAUAUUUUUGUAUAGUUUUGUUUAUACAAGUACAGGUUGGGAUAUAGAGAGAGGAGCACAAAAAGUAGACAGAGUCACCUGACCCGGGGCUCGAACCCCAGUGGCCUGAGGAGCCAUGUGUCCGGCACACUUGAGUAGAUCUGAAAGGACUCGAUAACUGCGAGGAAGUUAUCGAUUGGCUUGUUGAAUCCCUCAAUUUUCCAACAUGUCUGACGCUGGCCUGGCACUGGCUUGCAUGGAUGUAGCGCAAUAUUGGGUAUUAAAGAGGCUAUUGUUCGAAACACAUUCACCCAGAUAGGUAUGAAUAGGUGAUACAUUUGGUAGAAGAAAUAAGACUGUACAUACCGGACUUGGGUUGAAUGAUCCUCCUCUUAUGGGCACCAGGGAGCGAGGGGUUGACCGGGGAGGGAGCGGGGGCUUUAUUCUUGCUGGGGGGUUGACCUGGUUGCUUCUUCACCUCCCCCACCUUCUCCUUCUCCUCCACCUUCUCCUUAACCUUCUCUUUAACCUUCUCCUUAACCUUCUCCUUAACCUUCUCUGCCUCCACGUCCGAGUCGUCUGAGAAGGAGUCCGCAGAGUUUCCUGACAUCACUGUUGGGUAGGGAUAGAAGACGGAAUGAGAGCGUUGGGAAGGGAUAGAAGACAGAGAGAGCGUUGGGGAGGGAUAGAAGACAGAGAGAGCGUUGGGAAGGGAUAGAAGACAGAGAGAGCGUUGGGGAGGGAUAGAAGACAGGAAGGGAUUAGAAGACGGAGAGGAGCGUUGGAAGGGAUAGAAGU
ensembl:lncRNA